rnacentral:rRNA from 1 species
GACGAACGCUGGCGGCGUGCUUAACACAUGCAAGUCGAACGGAAAGGCCCCCUUGUGGGGUACACGAGUGGCGAACGGGUGAGUAACACGUGAGUAACCUACCCUUGACUUUGGGAUAACUUCAGGAAACUGGGGCUAAUACCGGAUAGGAGCUCCUGCUGCAUGGUGGGGGUUGGAAAGUUUCGGCGGUUGGGGAUGGACUCGCGGCUUAUCAGCUUGUUGGUGGGGUAGUGGCUCACCAAGGCUUUGACGGGUAGCCGGCCUGAGAGGGUGACCGGCCACAUUGGGACUGAGAUACGGCCCAGACUCCUACGGGAGGCAGCAGUGGGGAAUAUUGCACAAUGGGCGGAAGCCUGAUGCAGCAACGCCGCGUGCGGGAUGACGGCCUUCGGGUUGUAAACCGCUUUCGCCUGUGACGAAGCGUGAGUGACGGUAAUGGGUAAAGAAGCACCGGCUAACUACGUG